rnacentral:rRNA from 1 species
GACGAACGCUGGCGGCGCGCCUAACACAUGCAAGUCGAACGAGCGAGAGAGAGCUUGCUUUCUCGAGCGAGUGGCGAACGGGUGAGUAACGCGUGAGGAACCUGCCUCAAAGAGGGGGACAACAGUUGGAAACGACUGCUAAUACCGCAUAAGCCCACGACCCGGCAUCGGGUAGAGGGAAAAGGAGCAAUCCGCUUUGAGAUGGCCUCGCGUCCGAUUAGCUAGUUGGUGAGGUAACGGCCCACCAAGGCGACGAUCGGUAGCCGGACUGAGAGGUUGAACGGCCACAUUGGGACUGAGACACGGCCCAGACUCCUACGGGAAGCAGCAGUGGGGAAUAUUGCACAAUGGGGGAAACCCUGAUGCAGCGACGCCGCGUGGAGGAAGAAGGUCUUCGGAUUGUAAACUCCUGUUGUAGAGGAAGAUAAUGACGGUACUCAACAAGGAAGUGACGGCUAACUACGUG